rnacentral:rRNA from 1 species
CCUAACACAUGCAAGUCGAGGGGUAACAUAAAGUGCUUGCACUUUGAUGACGACCGGCGCACGGGUGAGUAACGCGUAUACAAUCUGCCUCAUACUAGGAGAUAGCCCAGAGAAAUUUGGAUUAAUACCCUAUAGUAUCAUUUAGAGUCAUAUCUUUUUGAUUAAAGGUUACGGUAUGAGAUGAGUAUGCGUUCUAUUAGUUAGUAGGUGAGGUAACGGCUCACCUAGACCACGAUAGAUAGGGGCCCUGAGAGGGGGAUCCCCCACACUGGUACUGAGACACGGACCAGACUCCUACGGGAGGCAGCAGUGAGGAAUAUUAGACAAUGGGCGAAAGCCUGAUCUAGCCAUGCCGCGUGCAGGAUGACGGCCCUAUGGGUUGUAAACUGCUUUUAUACAGGAAGAAAAAACUCUACGUGUAGAGUCUUGACGGU